rnacentral:rRNA from 1 species
UACGUAGGGUGCAAGCGUUAAUCGGAAUUACUGGGCGUAAAGCGUGCGCAGGCGGUUUUGUAAGUCUGUCGUGAAAUCCCCGGGCUCAACCUGGGAAUUGCGAUGGAGACUGCAAGGCUAGAAUCUGGCAGAGGGGGGUAGAAUUCCACGUGUAGCAGUGAAAUGCGUAGAGAUCGGGAGGAAGGCCGGUGGCGAAGGCGGCGCUCUGGAACAUUUCUGACGCUG